AGUUAAAAACACGUAGUGUGAAUGCAUACAGAAACGUUCGUCAGCUGAUUCAUUGACCAAAGGCACCUACAUAACUUGUGUAAAUAAUUAAAAUCGGACAAUCACAAAUCGUUAUUGAGAAAAAAUCACGUGCCAACUAGUUCACCAUUGUUCCGAAGGAACUCGAGUGUGAGGCGUUACACUUUGUCCGAGAACCGCUCCAGGCAGCAAGUGGUGUCGUUUCAACGAUCGCACACGCGAUGUCGAGCGAUCAUUGUGUCUCGAACAAGAAGGAGGCACACUACCGAUAGAGAGACACGCAGCGAAACCCACGUCGCGCGUUAUCGUGGUAGAAAUAUCAUCGAUGAGAACGAGCGUCGUAAUUCGUCGCUAAUCACCACGUGCACACGGUGUGGGAGGCGGCACCGCAGGAGAAUGUCAGUGAAAGUCUAUCUCGGCGAUCGUUCCUACGAUGAUUGUCGUCCCACGUGUUCUCGCCGGCACGACAAUCGCUUCCUGAUGAAGCGAACGACCCAUUCGAUACCAACAAGAGAUUCCAAAGCCUCUAAGAGGAUACCCGAACAGUUGUUAUGCGUAGUCAACUCAGGAAUGGUAAUGGAACUCCCUAAACGUCGUUUAGCCGACAUUAUAUCGCAUUGCGAAAUAUGUAUCAUAAAUUUUAAAUUUAAAUAUCGAA